UACGGAGGGGUUAGCGUUGUUCGGAAUGACUGGCGUAAAGCGCGCGUAGGCGGAUCAGGAAGUUGGGGUGAAGUCCCGGGCUCAACCCCGGAAUGGCCUUCAAAACUCCUGGUCUUGAGUUCGAGAGAGGUGAGUGGAAUUCCGAGUGUAGAGGUGGAAAUUCGUAGAUAUUCGGAGGAACACCAGUGGCGAAGGCGGCUCACUGGCUCGACACUGAGCGCUGAGGUGCGAAGCGUGGGAGCAAACGG
rnacentral:rRNA from 1 species